UACAGAGGGGGCGAAGCGUUGUUCGGAAUUACUGGGCGUAAAGGGCGCGUAGGCGGCCUUCUAAGUCGAACGUGAAAUCCCCGGGCUCAACCCGGGAACUGCGUCCGAUACUGGAAGGCUUGAAUCCGGGAGAGGGAUGCGGAAUUCCAGGUGUAGCGGUGAAAUGCGUAGAUAUCUGGAAGGAACACCGGUGGCGAAGGCGGCAUCCUGGACCGGCAUUGACGCUGAUGAGCGAAAGCCAGGGGAGCAAACGGG
rnacentral:rRNA from 1 species